GACGAACGCUGGCGGCGUGCCUAAUACAUGCAAGUCGAGCGGCAGCGGAAAGUAGCUUGCUACUUUGCCGGCGAGCGGCGGACGGGUGAGUAAUGACUGGGAAACUGCCUGAUGGAGGGGGAUAACUACUGGAAACGGUAGCUAAUACCGCAUAAUGUCGCAAGACCAAAGAGGGGGACCUUCGGGCCUCUUGCCAUCAGAUGUGCCCAGAUGGGAUUAGCUAGUAGGUGGGGUAACGGCUCACCUAGGCGACGAUCCCUAGCUGGUCUGAGAGGAUACCCAGCCACACGGGAACUGAGACACGGUCCAGACUCCUACGGGAGGCAGCAGUGGGUAAUAUUGCACAAUGGGCGCAAGCCUGGUGCAGCCAUGCCGGUUGUAAGAAGAAGGCCUUCGUGUUGUAAAGUACUUUCAGCGGGGAGGAAGGUGCUGAGGUUAAUAACCUCAGCAAUUGACGUUACCCGCAGAAGAAGCACCGGCUAACUCCGUGCCAGCCGCCGCCGUAA
rnacentral:rRNA from 1 species